rnacentral:lncRNA from 1 species
GUCAGCACUGGUAUUCCCAGACCCCCUGAGGAUUCUGUGGCUAUAGUCACUUCUCAUCUCACAGCAUGAGAUUCUCAGCUCUCCUCUUCCUGGCAGCCCUAGCUGGAGUUCUGGUCUAUGCCGAAUUCCUGGCAAACAAAGAUCUCUUGGUAUCAGGACAUGGCUUAGAAGGAGCAAAAAAAACACUGCAUAAAAGAGUUGAGUUUGGAAGACGUCUUUAUGAGGGUGGAGCUGAAUGGGGACGAAAUCUGAGAAACUGGGGUGCAAAACUGAAUGUAGUUGGGGUCUGAGAAGUUGAAAAGAAUGGGAUCAAAGCCUUAACCAUGCUUGCAGCCCAGCAUGAUUAAACUGAAGCAUCUAACU